rnacentral:sRNA from 1 species
GCUGGGCACAGUGGCACAUGCCUGUAAUCCCAGCGGCUGGGGAGGCUGAGGCAGGAAGGUCUCGAGUUCAAAGCCAGCCUCAGCAAAAGUGAGGUGCUAAGCAACUCAGUGAGACCCUGUCUCUA